rnacentral:lncRNA from 10 species
UCUGUUUGUGGCUUCUCCAUGUGGCUAUUUGGGCUUCUUCAAAUUUCUUCUAAGAGUGAUCAUCCCAAGAGAACCAGGCUGAAGCCAUAUCACCUUUCGCAUGCUAGCCUUGGAAGUAAAAUCAUGUCCUUCUCAUUGUACUCCGUUAAUCAGGGCAGUCGCAAAGAUCCAGCCAGACUGAAUGAGAGGGGACAGACACCAUCAUUCCAUGGCUGGUCUUUGAGUCACUGAGCACCAGGAUCAACUUUCACAGAGGAUCCAGAUAAUCAGCCAGCUUGAGUCACACUCCUGCAGCUUGGCUAGGGUAGGGAUUCCUGACCAACAGUCCCAUAAGAUCUUAUCCAGUCAGGAGGUACUGGACCAAUCUGAAGUGCAGCCAAGACCGGGAGCCACAGACCUGGAACCUGGGUACUCAAAGAGUUGUCCACGUGCCAGCAGCACUGGCCCCUCCAGGAGCUUGUUAGAAAUGUAGAACCUCAGAGCCUACAUUAAAGAUAUUGAAUCGGAGUCUGCACGUCACAUCUGAGAAGCCAUGAGCUAAGCUGAUGCCAUUCAGCUGGGUAGCAUCGCAGUCACUGUGCAACUUUUAAACCUACAGCUGCCCAGGCCCACUGCAGACCUGCUAAAUUCGAGCUCCUUGUAGUGGGGCCAGGGCCCUGGGACUUCACACAAAACUCUGCAAGUCAUCACUGAUGAGAAAACCAAGACUCGAUGAGAGUCUCCUGAGCUCGGGGGAAGAAGCUGCAUAACCGGCACACUUCCAGAAAGGACCGAGGAAGAGAGCGUCGCUUCAGCUAGGGAUCUGAUUAGUCAUGCCUGGACUUGGCUGCACAGCAUCGCAGGUCCACCAGAGCUGCCUCCCUCCCUGAGUCAACGCGUCCCUGAAGAUACACAGCUUAUGUCAGCAGCACAGACCUGCAUCCCCCAUGGUGACUCAGUUUACAUUCCGUACCCUUGCCCCUGCAUGGGGGUCUUCUUGGAAACUCUGAGACAAGUUGGCUAGGUUAGGUGUCCCCUGAUCUCAAUCUUGCCCAGCCCUAUGUGAACUUAGGUCUCUGGAGACUAAGAAGCCCCAUGGGCAGAGGAGGAGGAGCAGCAAAGGCCCCAAGCAUGAAGUGAUUUGGGGGGAGGAGAGAGGAGUUUCCAGGGAGGGUGAGCACCCCAUCCCCACUGCAGCACUGUCCCUCUGCCAAUGCACAUGAUACAGCUGGAGUCCUUCCUCCCGCCUGGCUGUGCAGAGUGGCCCUGGGACCUCUAGGUGAGCAGAGAGCGGGAGGUGCAGCAGAUGGAGUCAGGCUCCUUAUACUCUCUCCUCACUGCUGUGGAGGAUAUAAGCAGGGGCCACGUGGCUUCAGAGCCUCCUGUUCCUCCCCUUCCCCGAAUUCCUAUCAACAGCUAACCAAAUCCCUGCAAACACCCACUCUCCAAGCACCUGCUAAGAACCAGGGGUCUUUGGCAGAGGACUCCCCUUGCAGUGGGUGCUCAGAGCCCACUGAUCUUGCCCCUCCACUGGCCCGGCUGUGGGAGCUGGCAGCUGGCAGUGGAACCAGAACUUAGGAAGGUAGGAUGUCAGCUUGGAGCCAUGCUGGCUGUCACCAGAGGCCGCCCCUCCAUCAGCUAAGCCUUCCCGGGUGUUGUGUCAUGAGCACACACAGUCUGGAGUCUCUGACACAGCUUUGUUUUCCCUGCUCUAUCCAUGGGCCCACCUCUCACUUUCCCGAAAGAGAGGGCAGGGCAAGCCGUCUCACAGACGGCAGAGCAGAUGCCUGACCAUACUCUUGAGCAGCUUCAGAGAAGUAUUUAUGCCCUGAAGUGGUUUCUUCAGGUGACCAGACCAAAGUGAGUUGCUGGACACCACCUACCCCAAGGCCCCUGUCUGCAGGAAGCUCAGGUCCAUGCCCCUCAGAGCCAGCCAGCUCCCCCUUCCACCUAACCCUGACCAGCAGGAAACCUGUGGAAGUCAGGGGUCAGCCAUGCCCCCUUUCCUCAACCCUCCUGCCUCUCAGCCUUCCCAGGCUGCAGAAUUUCACCCUUCAGAGGCUUCCAGAGUCUGCCCACUCCCGUGAGGAACCAUCGUCCUCCAUAAAUGAAACAAAGCCCUUUCCCUGGGGAAGCAUGGGGGGCUUACUGAACCUGCUUCUGUGAGGCUGGGCUUGACUGGUGGGCAAAGCUGAGUGUGGCUGGGCCCAGCUGCUCCAGCAGGGCCCUCCCUGCUGCUCCUCCACCCGGAAGGUGGCCUGUGGCCAGAACGUGGCCUUAGAGCUCAGCCCUGACCAGCUUGUGAACUCAGCCCCGGUCCACCCAGGAGGAAGCACAGGUCUCUUGUCUCACUGAGUCUCAUCUCAUCAGUCACAGACCUUCCUCCCCAUCUCCACCCGCAGAGGCAGCCGAGGGCUGGGAUGGGGCAAGGAGGCCUCGUAUAACUGUGGGAACUGUGGCUGGAGGGUGUCAGAGACAGAACGUGGAAUUCCAGUCUCGUGUGGAAGUGAGGUGAGAGAUGCAGAUUGCUGUUUUAAAAUCUACAUAAAAUUACCAACUUGAAUAUUUCCUUAUGACUCCUGGAAUUCUACUUCUUCGGCCCCUAAGCGUGGACAUCUGAUGCAGUUCUGGAAUGUAAAUAGGAUUUUAUAAAGGCUUCAGGAAAUGUUCUGCUUUCCCUAUUAUAAGAAACGAUUGACAUUUCUUCUCCUAUAUGCUUUUCUUUCUGCUUUAAAAGCAGAUAAAAUGUUUCAGCUACAGCUUCAAGCCAGUGAACAAAGCUGUGGAAAUCUGGUUUCAAUACGUGGAAGUUUACCUCUGCGAUGACUGCCUGGCGGUGGCUGUUACGUGAUUCCAGGGACAUAAGGCAUGUGAGAGUGAGGUCAGGGCUCUGCUGCACUGGGAAGUGUGGAAUCCAGCAGGUCAUGAUGUUGUUGGCACAACUUCAUCUAGAUCACUUUCAGGAUAUCAUGCGAUAUUCAGUGUGGUAGGAAGAGAUCAGUACAAUGCCUCCAAUUGUACAGCAUAACCUAGGUAUGCAGAGGGCAAAAGACAGAAACCUGUGAUCAAGUCAGCACUAGAGCCUAGAAUCUAUUAACUCCCUAUGUACUGUGGUUUUCCUGGAGAAAGAAAUUAGUAAAUGAUAAAAUUGCGGCAGCCAGAUAUAAAAUGCAAAGUUGUCUAUGAGUGAAUAGACAUUUAAGAAACAGUAUGCAUAGCUUCACAGAUAAUCCAGUGAUGUAGAUUGAAAGUUUGUUUCCUUCCAAGAUUCCAAUGUGAAAAUUCCAACCUGGGAAGGAAUGAACAAACGCUGCUGAACCCAGUAGGCCCAGCAAGUGGGCAGUGUGUCCCAGUGGGCCUGGAAGGCAGAUCAUUGAGCCAAAGGAAAUCGGGUUCAACGCUCUUCAUUCCAGGGAGUUUGCCUUGUGGUUUGGACUUGCCUGAGAUCCAUUACUCCUUUCUUGUUUCCUAUUUCUCUCUCUGGGAGAAAUGUCUGUCCUAUGCUUGCAGCACUACUCUACUCUGGAGGCACAUAACAUUUAGUUUCACAGAUUCCUGCCUAGAGAGAAAUUUGUUUCAAGAUGACUUUUACCUUGAGUCUUAGCCAUAUCUAAUUUAGAGGAUAUUUAUAUAAGACUUCCGAUUUGAGAUUUAGAGUUGACACUGAAGGGGUUGAGACUUUUGGGGCUAUUGGGAUGUAAUUAGUGCAUUUUGCAUGUUAGAAGCAUUCUAGGCCAGGAGCUGAAUGCUGCAGAAUGAUGGUUUAUGUCUCUUCAAGAUGUAUAUGUUGAACUCCUAACACCUAAGGUGAUGGUAUUAGGAGGUGGGGCCUUUGAGAGGUGAUUAGAUCAUAAAGGUGAGGCCUUCAUGAAUGGGAUCAGUGCCCUCCUAGAAGAGACUCCAGAGAGCUCUUUCACCCUCCAUGUGGGGACACAGUGACAAGACGGCUGCUUAUAAACCAGGAAGUAAGCUGUCACGAGACACUGAAUUCUCAGCACCUGGAUUUUGGACUUCCAGUCUUCAUAACUGUGAGAAAUGCAUUUCUGUUGUUUGUAAGCCACUCAGUCUAUGGUAUUCUAGUAUGGAAGCCUGAAUGGACUAACACAUUCAAUAACUCAAAGUGAUGUUUUAAGAACAGCAGAUCUUGCCAACAGAAGGCACAGGCUUCCUCCCUCCUUACCUUCCUCUCACCCACAUGGCCUCCCAACCCAUCCCUUCACCACUUUUGUCACACCAACCCUUUACCUCUCCCCCAGCAUCAAGCCAACACUACCAAUUGCUGCUGACCUUCUGCUAAUGCUAAAUUUAAAAUCAACUUUUUAUUUAGAAAGUUUAAAACUUAAAUUAUAGACUUGGACCUAGGUGGAAGAGAGAAAGAAAAAAAGAUUUCUAGACCCUGAGACAAACUCAUACAUCUGUCCAUAAAUCUGCUCAUUUCAUUUUAUAGAAACAAAGAAAUAUGCUUAGUGGGUAGAUUUAAAUACUCAGACAAUUAAAGUAUACGAUACUUUGCAUGGCAACAAUUAGUGGUGAGAAGAGUAGGGAGAGGUCCUGAUUCUGCAUUCCCCAAGAGCCUGAUCUGAUCACAAUCUUUUGUUGAAAUUACUCAAUUGUUAUUUUUAAGUAUUUAAUUUUUCCCCGCCUUUUGUAAAAAUAAAACAGACAGAUAGACAUACACUGUGAAGCUAAAGGCUAAGAUUCAGCUGAUUUUCCAAUGCUAAUCAUGAGAGUGGAGGUUGUUUAUGGAAGCUGAACAAUAUGACUUUCAUCACCAGGCAGUGGCCCCUGGGCAAAGACUCCAGGGUCUCUGGAUAAGAAGAAACUGAUAGGGAAAAAUGGAGAGCACUUAGUUCACCAUGGCAGAAAUGCUGCAAUAAACAAACCUAAUGAAGAAGAAACAUAAAUCCAGAUCAAACCAAGAAUGGUUAUUUUAGCUUCCUUCUCCUCCUUCUCCUUCUCCUCCUGCUUCUCCUCCUCCUCCGGAUUUUUUUUGUCCCUUUAUCAAUGCAUCAUUUUUCAACUCUGUCACUUCCACAUAACACAGCCACCAUUUGCUGUUCUCAACUUUUCCUUUUUGUAUUUGUUUGACACUAACUUUUCCCACAGUCUGUAGAUUUUUUUUGUCCUUUUCUAAUAGUUCGUGUUUUAGAAAUUCAGAACAAACAAUUUCUGAAUGCUCCUCAGAACGCCAACUCAGGCAGAGAAUCUCACCGAAAUAGAGAAGAAGCUCAUGCUCCUGGAAGAAACAGCCCGAGGAGAGCCGCUGGGCCACAUCUGGCCACUGUCCGCAGCGCUGUCAGAUUGCUGGGGCCACAUCUGGCCACUGUCCACAGUGCUGUCAGAUCCAAGGAGAGCCGCUGGGCCACAUCUGGCCACUGUCCACAGCGCUGUCAGAUGCCGACCAAACCCUGCUUUGGUGUUGAGGUGGUUCGUCUGGUAGCCUCCUUUCUUAAGGGUAUUUAAUCUGCUGCAAAUUGUUUUCAUGUAUGCAAUAGAUGUUACUGUAACUGUUUUAUAAGGUGCAUUGUCUUCACCUUGGCAGGCUCUGUGCCAGUCUGUGUCUAGUCUGAUGCCAUUCCUGCACACAUACAUCCAUGCCCCAGCAUUUGGAGGGCUGGAGUUAGGAAUAAUCCUGUUGGUGACUUAUUAUUAACUAUUGUAUGGGACUUAUUAUGUAUCUUCAUGUUCUACUGUUCCCACCUCCCAAACCCCAAAAAAGGAUGAGAUCUGUCUUAUAACAAAAACAUUUACGAUAAGGCCAAUACUAUAAAAUAAGUAAUAAAGUUAAUACCAAC